AUUGAACGCUAGCGGCAGGCCUAACACAUGCAAGUCGAACGAGUGGCGGACGGGUGAGUAAUGUCUGGGAAACUGCCUGAUGGCGGGGGAUAACUACUGGAAACGGUAGCUAAUACCGCAUACCAUCAGAUGUGCCCAGAGGGGAUUAGCUAGUUGGGGGGGUAACGGCUCACCAAGGCGACGAUCCCUAGCUGGUCUGAGAGGAUGACCAGCCACACGGGCACUGAGGCACGGCCCCGACUCCUACGGGAGGCAGCAGUGGGGAAUAUUGCACAAUGGGCGCAAUCCUGAUGCAGCCAUGCCGCGUGUAUGACGAAGGCCUUCGGGUUGUAAAGUACUUUCAGCGGGGAGGCGUUACCCGCAGAAGAAGCACCGGCUAACUCCGUGCCAGCAGCCGCGGUAAUUC
rnacentral:rRNA from 1 species